rnacentral:rRNA from 1 species
UCUACGGGUGGCAGCAGUGAGGAAUAUUGGUCAAUGGCCGAGAGGCUGAACCAGCCAAGUCGCGUGAGGGAAGACGGCCCUACGGGUUGUAAACCUCUUUUGUCGGGGAGCAAAGCGAGGCACGUGUGACGCAUUGAGAGUAACCGAAGAAAAAGCAUAGGCUAACUCCGUGCCAGCAGCCGCGGUAAUACGGAGGAUGCGAGCGUUAGCCGGUUUUAUUGGGUUUAAAGGGUGCGCAGGCGGAGGUGCAAGUCAGCGGUAAAAUUGAGGGGCUCAACCCCGUACUGCCGUUGAAACCGCAUCCCUUGAGUGCGCGAGAGGAAUGCGGAAUGCUAGGUGUAGCGGUGAAAUGCAUAGAUAUCACGAAGAACUCCGAUUGCGAAGGCAGCAUACCGGCCCGCAACUGACGCUCAUGCACGAAAGCGUGGGUAUCGAACAGGAUUAGAUACCCUUGUAGUC